GGAUUGAACGCUGGCGGCAGGCCUAACACAUGCAAGUCGAGCGGCAGCACGGGUACUUGUACCUGGUGGCGAGCGGCGGACGGGUGAGUAAUGCCUAGGAAUCUGCCUGAUAGUGGGGGAUAACGGUUCGGAAACGGACGCUAAUACCGCAUACGUCCUACGGGAGAAAGUGGGGGAUCUUCGGACCUCACGCUAUCAGAUGAGCCUAGGUCGGAUUAGCUAGUUGGUAGGUAAAGCCUACCAAGGCUACGAUCCGUAACUGGUCUGAGAGGAUGAUCAGUCACACUGGAACUGAGACACGGUCCAGACUCCGUACGGGAGCAGCAGUGGGAAUAUGGACAUGGGCAAAGCCUGAUCCGAGCCAUCGCCGCGUGUCGUGAAGAGGUCUUCGGAUUAGUAAAGUCUAACGUUUAAGUU
rnacentral:rRNA from 1 species